AAUGAACGCUGGCGGCGUGCGUUAACACAUGCAAGUCGAGCGGAAAGGCCCUUCGGGGGUACUCAGCGGCGAACGGGUGAGUAACACGUGAGUAACCUGCCCAAACUUUGGGAUAACCCUCGGAAACGGGGGCUAAUACCGGAUAUGACACAGCUUCGCAUGGGGUCUGUGUGGAAAGUUUUCGGUUUGGGAUGGGCUCGCGGCCUAUCAGCUUGUUGGUGGGUGAUGGCCUACCAAGGCGACGACGGGUAGCCGGCCUGAGAGGGCGACCGGCCACACUGGGACUGAGACACGGCCCAGACUCCUACGGGAGGCAGCAGUGGGGAAUAUUGCACAAUGGGCGGAAGCCUGAUGCAGCGACGCCGCGUGAGGGAUGACGGCCUUCGGGUUGUAAACCUCUUUCAGCAGGGACGAAGCCGUGAGGUGACGGUACCUGCAGAAGAAGCGCCGGCCAACUACGUG
rnacentral:rRNA from 1 species